rnacentral:rRNA from 1 species
AAACCAGGAUUAGAUACCCUAUUAUACUUUAAUUUCUUUGGUAGUAUUACUAUUUUUAAUAAACCAAUGUAGUUUGGCGGCAUUCAAUCACUUUAGAGGAACCUGUCUAUUAAUCGACUCUCCACGAUAUAUUUCACUUUUAUUUAUAUUUUAUAUACCACCAUCUUUUAGGAUUAAUAUAAAUAUUCUUUCCUUAAUAGAAACUUCUCAUAAGUUAGG